AAUAAGAUGGCCGAAAAAAUUUAGGCGGUAAAUUGUAAAUUUAUGGAUGAGUAGAAAAAAAUUAACUCUCUUAUUA
rnacentral:tRNA from 1 species